rnacentral:rRNA from 1 species
AGAGUUUGAUUCUGGCUCAGGACGAACGCUGGCGGCGUGCCUAAUACAUGCAAGUCGAGCGCAGGAAGCUGGCGGAACUCUUCGGAGGGAAGGCAGUGGAAUGAGCGGCGGACGGGUGAGUAACACGUAAGGAACCUGCCUCAAGGAUUGGGAUAACUCCGAGAAAUCGGAGCUAAUACCGGAUAGUUCAACGGACCGCAUGGUCCGCUGAUGAAAGGCGCUUCGGCGUCACCUUGAGAUGGCCUUGCGGUGCAUUAGCUAGUUGGUGGGGUAACGGCCCACCAAGGCGACGAUGCAUAGCCGACCUGAGAGGGUGAUCGGCCACACUGGGACUGAGACACGGCCCAGACUCCUACGGGAGGCAGCAGUAGGGAAUCUUCCACAAUGGACGAAAGUCUGAUGGAGCAACGCCGCGUGAGUGAUGAAGGUUUUCGGAUCGUAAAACUCUGUUGUAAGGGAAGAACACGUACGAGAGGGAAUGCUCGUACCUUGACGGUACCUUACGAGAAAGCCACGGCUAACUACGUGUCAGCCGCCGCGGUAA